AGUGAACGCUGGCGGUAGGCCUAACACAUGCAAGUCGAACGGCAGCACAGUAAGAGCUUGCUCUUACGGGUGGCGAGUGGCGGACGGGUGAGGAAUACAUCGGAAUCUACUUUUUCGUGGGGGAUAACGUAGGGAAACUUACGCUAAUACCGCAUACGACCUACGGGUGAAAGCAGGGGAUCUUCGGACCUUGCGCGAUUGAAUGAGCCGAUGUCGGAUUAGCUAGUUGGCGGGGUAAAGGCCCACCAAGGCGACGAUCCGUAGCUGGUCUGAGAGGAUGAUCAGCCACACUGGAACUGAGACACGGUCCAGACUCCUACGGGAGGCAGCAGUGGGGAAUAUUGGACAAUGGGCGCAAGCCUGCUCCAGACAUCCCGCGUGGGUGAAGAAGGCCUUCGGGUUGUAAAGCCCUUUUGUUGGGAAAGAAAAGCAGCAGGUUAAUACCCCGCUGUUCUGACGGUACCCAAAGAAUAAGCACCGGCUAACUUCGUG
rnacentral:rRNA from 1 species